rnacentral:rRNA from 1 species
UACGUAGGGUGCAAGCGUUAAUCGGCAUUACUGGGCGUAAAGCGUGCGCAGGCGGCUAUGCAAGACAGAUGUGAAAUCCCCGGGCUCAACCUGGGAACUGCAUUUGUGACUGCAUGGCUAGAGUACGGUAGAGGGGGAUGGAAUUCCGCGUGUAGCAGUGAAAUGCGUAGAUAUGCGGAGGAACACCGAUGGCGAAGGCAAUCCCCUGGACCUUUACUGACGCUCAUGCACGAAAGCGUGGGGAGCAAACAGG